rnacentral:sRNA from 1 species
AUUUCGCGUUAGGGAUUGAAGCGAGAUUCUUUUUUGUUUUUGCAAAAAAGAUAUAGUGAAAUACCCGACCCCUU